GACAGAGGGUGCAAACGUUGUUCGGAAUUACUGGGCGUAAAGCGUGUGUAGGCGGCUAUGUAAGUCGGAUGUGAAAGCCCCGGGCUCAACUCGGGAAGUGCACUCGAUACUGCGUAGCUAGAGUACCGGAGAGGUUGGUGGAAUUCUCGGUGUAGAGGUGAAAUUCGUAGAUAUCGGGAGGAACACCAGUGGCGAAGGCGACUUCCUGGCCUGUUCUUGACGCUGAGGCGCGAAAGCUAGGGGAGCAAACGGG
rnacentral:rRNA from 1 species